GAAGGUUCAUUCAUUCCAGUCGCAGCUAUGGAGGAAAAUGGUUGACUAAAAGUAGUGUGACAAGCAUUUGAUUGAAAUAAUUGAUUGCAACGGAAAAACAUUGGUUGCAUAAUCGCCGGCGAUGAAGUGAACAGUGUAAUUAUUCGCCAAAACGGUAUUUUCUGGAAUGGCAAGCAACAACUGAACACAGUUUUCGUUGGAAAGAGGGUGUGGAAAUUUUCAUAACCAAAAAAAUGGCUGCCACGACACCUGCUCUCGCCAUAUUCGUUCUGUUUCCUCUGGAUAAUUGCAAGAAUGUCUAAUUGGUACGACUAUCAAAACUUUCCACUCCGAGGAUUUCAAAACCCAUUUUGUGGAGUCAUCGAAAUGUGACACCGUCCAGUCCGCUGCGAAGGAAGGAAGCAAAGAGGGACAAAAGUAAGAAAAUCAAUUGCCGUGCCCUUAUCAAGAGUAUUAUUAUCAGCAGCGACCGAAAUGUGUUAAGGUUUUCCGAAAUGGAAGAUUAAAGACCCCAUGUGUGCUACUCUUCGCACUUGAUUGUGAAAUUGCCAACACCACGCUAGGAAUGUAUUUCAUAAUUGUGGAGUGGCGCCGACACGUCAGCCAAUGCAUUGUUGGGUGAAACGUUUGCAAAACGAAAAACAAACCUUGGAUGUACGGGACCGCUCAACCUAAAUUAAGGUUCAACGAACAAAGAACUUUACUGGAAACGUUUGUGGAACAAAUGCUCAGUCAUUCAAUGUACCUGCACUUUGGAUUGCUGUUUAUGGUGAGAAAUCAACAAACAACAAACAAGUAAAUUUAGUUGUAAGUUAGUUCAUAAGGAGUAAUUCAAGCUAGAAAGCUGUGCUUUCUAGGACGAUUCUGCAGAAAGUUAUAGGUGGAAUGUUUGAUUCGAUUCCAGUUAGCUAGAUCACACUCAAAAGAAAAAGAAAGGGAUAGCUUUAUUGUAUAUUAGGAAAUGGUCACGGUUGUCGAAAUGUAUGGUUGGGUUGUCGAAACGUAUCUUACACCGAUAGGAAAGUAGAUUGCACUCAACAUUAUUUCGAAUUUUCAUAAAUACUCUUGGAGGUGUACACAGUUUACGUAACUCAAGCGAAGUUAGUUGAUACUUUGAUAUAUCAUCAACAGAACAUAGAAUCAAUAUUAUGGAUAUUUUAGAUUGCGAUUUCACGGGACCCCCCUUAGGAUUCUUCGGAACUGCUUUGCUGUAUGCCUUUCUUCGACAAAACUACCCAAUAAUUUGGGUGUUCAAAAUGCUUCUUUCUACCUUGGAAUAUACCGGCUUGCCCGCAAUGCUUCUAAAUGCAUUGCGACGGGUUUACGGUAUAGAUUCGGAUGACCUGUUUUAUCGCUAGGAAAUUUCUUUUGCUCACACUUACGGCACUGAUUAAUUAAAUUUUCUUUUUUUGAAACGUUAUUUACUAACAGUCACGAGACUGAUUAUUUUAUUCUCUUUUUUGUUGGAAUUGUUAUUGCUAUUUAACUUGCAAUUCAUGACUCUGUGGGGGGAAACCGUAUACUGCUAGUAUUGGCAGCAAUAGCACUAAACCGAGUAACAAGUCCAGUUUGUAGUUCGUGUUGCCGUGUAACUCUUCAUGUAACUGUAGCUGGUUUAGUACGUUCACUUGGGCUUCGCCCUCUUGUUUAACUGUUUUUGACAAUGGUAUGGAAAUUAAAUGACCUAAAUAAAGCAACUCUGUUUUUGAAAAAGCUGCAUUUCUGCGGAUUCAAAUUUAAAUCCACCUUACGCAGUUUUUCAAAAACCGCUUUCAGAUCAGAUUUUUAAUUAUGUUCCACCACAGAUUUUCCAAAGAUGAUAAUGUUAUCUAGAUAGACCAGACAUUGAGUCAUAUCCAGUCCCGACAUUGCUAUUGUCAUUAGACGUGAAAAAGCUGAUGAACAAAUUUUUAAUCCCAUGGGUAGCCAUGUCAUUUGAUACUGCCCGGAUGGUGCUGAGAAUGCUGUUAUGAGUCUAUCUUCUGGCCUUAAUUGACACUGAUAGUAUCCCUGUGAGGGAUCUAGAUGUGAAAAAUAUUGUGCACCUGCUAAUGCAUCUAUUAUAUCAUCAAUAUUUGGCAGAGGGAACUUCUCAUCCUCAAUUACCGUAUUAAGCUUUUUUUUUAUCGGCAAUAACCAGUCUCCAUUUCCUACUAUCUCCCGAACUCUUCUUAGGGACCAGCAAAAUGGGACUAUUCUAUGCGUUAAUUUUAUCCUUUGUCGUCCUAGAAAUCCGCCUCUCCACCUCUUCUUUUUGAAUAUGAGGCAAUCUGUAAGGCUUGCAAUAAAUCGGCUGUAUAUCAUUCUUAACCCUCACUAUAGAACUAUAGGCGUAGCCUGAGUAGCGGAAGGAUAUGGGACACCCACGGUGUCACUAUCUAGACGUUCAAUCUCUGUCUUUCUUGUUUAACCAUGCGACAGACAUGACUUGGCGAUCACUGAAACGGAGUCACUGAUUAAGCUACCGCGCUUUAGUUUCUAUUAUGUCCUUAACGAGGGCCGGCUCACCGAACGUUUCGGUGCGAAUGAAUGGAUUAAACCGGGAACCAUCCGGCAGAGAGACACAUUGCAAUGCUGUCUGCCCGUUAGAAUCCCACUAACCUCAUUUACACCAUCUUUUAGCAAGAAUUAGGGUCACAUAAAACGUACGAACUAACUUCCGGUUUUAACACUUAACGGUGGUUAGCGUCGGUCUGACAGUUAAUGGCUUCUCUUAGUUGUUCUUGUUGGUGAAGUAGGUUCCUCACAUCGGCUUCCUUGCGUAAAACCUCCUGACAAUCAGCGCACCUAGGGACCAUGAACGCCGUGAUAAAGUGCUCAUGCUGCCGUUGCACUCCGAUGUAUGCUGCAUGAUAUGUUUUGUUACAGUACUCGCACUUCCAUGGGAGCCGGUCUUCUCCGCUAUUUUCAGUUUGCCGAGGAGUAAAUUAACUCUGUUCUGAAUAUUUUUCACAGUCACUGUUUUUUACCGAGUCACGCUACGUACGCAAUUUGUAACGUUAUUUAACCGUACAUCACUAUACUUUCGUGAUCCGAACUUUCUAGCUCGAAUGUUACAUGUCGCCAUGAACUAUAUGUGGACAGUUAGGUUCCCAUAUUGUCGGAGUCUUUCGGACUUCGGAACGUAAGAAUGACUGUGACAGCGUGCAAUAAUUAGUUUGGCUAUAGAUGGUCUUAGCCGGAAGGUUCUGCUUCCCUGGCGCAUCCAAAUAAAAAGUGGUUUUGAGUGGCGUCCAGUGAAUUGGCUGUUAGUGACCUACAAUUUAUUAUAAAUUCAAUUUCUGCCAAAAGUUGUCUAAAGACGUGCUCAGGCAUUGUUUCACUGGGCAUUAAAGUCUUUAUUUCGUACACUUGCCUCUCCCAGCAUCCACCUUGAUGCGGAGGGGCUGGAGUAUUAAAAUGCCUUUCAAUUCCUCCCGUAGACAAUCGACGUUGAAGUUUUUUCCAACUCGUUAUCUGCUCCGACAAAAUUAGUUCCGUUAUCGCUAUAAAGGUACUUAAUCCUACCUCGUCUAGCUUGAACUGCAUUAAGGCAUAAUAAAAAUGCAUCUGCACUUAAGUUCUAUAUAAACAGCUCUAGUUGUCAUACACGUAAAUAGAGCUCCCCAUCUUUUCUCCGACCGUCUGUUAACCGAUACGUUAUACAUUUUUUUUAUUCAGUUUUGCACAGUUUUAUUCAAAUUGUCGGGAAUUCUAUCAUCCCAUUCAAAACCAGUGCACCACAAAUCUUGCAUUAUUAACUUUGACUCUAUCGUUAUGGGUUUUCAUUGUUUUGUGCUGUACCGUGCAACUUAUCCUUAAUUUGUGUUUAAAUGUAUCGGCUGGUGUAUUCCAAUACAUGUCCACUAUUUUCUCGAAGUUUUGCUCUUCAUCAAGAGAGUCUUCUUUUAUUGGUGAUACUCUAUCAGCCAGCAAUUUGCUGAGUAGUUCUUUAGAAUUUGAAACAAAACCUCUUAUUUCUCAUCUAAAACUAUUCUUGUCGCAUUAGUUACAUCAUGAAAGCUAUCUACAUAAUGAUUUCUGGUAAUUGCUUCUACUGCAUCAGGACUUUCGCUUAAAAAGUUUUUUUGCGUUUGUGUUCUUCACGAAUUGUGCACAUGCUGGCGUGCAUGUUGCACCAAGCGUCCUUACUUGCAUCUCGUAAACGUUCAAACGAAACUUUUGGAACUUUCCCUAAAUAGGAUUCGUUGGGUUUGCGCAUAUAUCCCUUUUCAACAUAUUCUUUUAUAGUUGGCUAGAGGACGGUCACCUCCUAUCUUGAUGCUCCAUAGUUGGAAUGCACAAUAGGCAAGACUAGGGAACUUCUUCGCUGAUGCUGAUUCUAUCUGGGAAUUAUACCCGAAAUACACAUUGCCCUGGAUUAUCUUGGCAUUGUACGAAUCUCUUAGUGUUGGAUCCUUAUCCAUCUUUCUUUCUUGUAUUGGAAGACGUCCCAAGGCAGCUUCACGUCUUCAUGCUUCCACAACAGGCAAUCUCAUAGCCUCGGUUGGUUUUUGUUAACGUAUUCUCCGUUAUUUUAACCGUCGGGAAAUUCUCUUCGAAAAUGUAUAUUAAUAACGGAUGUAAAUGUAUAUAUGUAUGUUUAUACAUUUCCAAACUGUUGAAAAUAUCGCUUUAUACUUUCUUUUUUAAUAAUAUCUCAUUGUGGCUUUCUGGUAAAACAAAUUUCGUAAGCUUCGAUAAUUUUAGCUUAUGAACCAAAUUCUGUAAGCUAUAAACUCUCUUUGAAGCUUUGUAAAUUCGAUAGAGCCUAUGAAUAGAAUAUGACUCAAUACGAUCGAUGUAUCACUUCUGAGUUAUUAUUAAUUACUUAAGUUAGCUUAACCUAUUUCGCUGUUAGCGUUUUGAUGUCAAAGUUGAUGUUGAUUAGCGUCUGACAUGAGCUGCAACACGGCAAUAGAUAUGACUGGGGAUCGAUUUCUUUUGUCCCUUUUGCGUAAGGAACCACGUUGAAUCGCCGCUCCCCCCACACAGGCGGCAUGGUAGGAUCGUUGACAGCCGGCACAGGUCCACAUUAUCGAAUCCACUGCAGUGUUAGGCAAACAAAUUUCGAGUCUUCGACUCUGUGGCCAUCCCUUUGCCUCAAAAUGCGUAACAACCUCGGCAGGCAUGACAAAAGAAAUCACUAUAAAUUCGCUAAGAUGUAUUAACUAUUCUGCUUGAUCCUACCAGUAAUAAACGCUUGUCUCAAAGGUUAAGCCAUGCAUGUCUAAGUACAAACAGGGAUGCCGCGAUUGCUCGUCGUAACAAUCCCCCAUCCGUAAGGACCGUUGAUGAUCCGCAAUUCCUAAAGAUUCCUCACAGGCUUCACCAUCAGAUCCAACGUCGAGCAAUGCCAGUUUUACUACUGGCCUUUUAUACACACCCGAUGCCGUGCGUACUAGCGCCUAUUCUUCUAUCCACCCUUUCCAAAUCGUGUCCGUAAUGUGUUGCGCAAGAUUUCAACUGCCACGGAGGAUGGUUCGAUGGUCUACCGGGGCCGAUGGCGGCUGUUUUACAGCUGACGAGCUCCCGAGUAAGAAAUGGUUCGGGGUCAACGAUUCCUUAUCAGCUGUUUCAAGCGGCAUGUAAGUUAGGGGUCUAGAGUUGUUCAUCGACUCUGCAUCCGAAAGAAUUGUCGCGCCAGUGUUUCGUCGUUGUGUUUGCGGAAUGAGUCGAUUAUUGUCCCGAUGGCUUGCUUAACCGACCGCACCAGGCGCUCCCAGACACCACCCAUGUGAGGGUGGAAUCUCUUGAAUGUCACCUGAAAUCGCGAAUGGUACUUCUCUAAAGCGCAUCUUGAUUCCUAAGGCUGAUUUAGUCAUGGACCCGAUAACAUUUCCUUUAAGGCUUAUUUGCAAGAUAUUUAAAUUUUAUAAUCAGAGAAAUUACCUUUACUCGUGGUUUCAAUAAAGGUUUGUUUAAAUCUGGGCCAGAGAUUAUUAGACCCGUCAUCGGUUGUUAAGUGCUUUUCAAUAUUCCGUCUAUCUCUUGAAUUUUGUUUAUGAUUUCGUUAAAUGCCUCAACAUGCGUAUUCAUAGCGGCUUUGUCGAGAUUUUCAAUCUGACGAAUCUUCUUGUCCCUGACAGCGAUUACGUUAUACAUAUUUUUGCAUUUAAAACAAAUCCACAAAACAUCCCAGGGGGACUCCUCAAGACUGCGGGAUACGUAAGGUCCAGUUCCGGGCCCUCUAACUAAGAACCUAAGAACGGAUUUCCUGAAAAGUUUCACGUGCGGGAAACCUCUCUUACAGUUCCGCUAUCUGGUGCAUGAUGCACUUUGUUCCAAAUGUUCACGAAACUCUACUCGGUGAUUUCACUUAGCACUUUACACUUUUAAUUUACUGUUACACUGCUGGUUCCUAUUCGGGUGCCAGCUAAGAAUUCUCUUUUGGAGAAAUCCAAAAAAUAUCUUUGGGAGUUACGUUUCGCUUUUAUUGACUAAACUACAAUUCGUUCUUAAACUAAGAGGGAAUUCUUUGUUAACAGUUCUGAUCGUGGGAACAAAGCCGAUUUAUGUUGAUUUUCUACUGAUGCUGUCUUAGCGUAGUGCUGCGGAUGUUAAUGUUGGAUAGGUAUCUGGGCGAUUGUUGACGUUUUCCGACGAUUUAGACAAUUUCCAGCUUGCUGGAAUUAGUUUUUGGUCCUUUUGGGCUGCACAUUGUAAUGCUGUCCACCCAUUCGCGUGUGUAUAAUCUCAUUCACUCAAGUCCACAGCUGACUAUAAGCAUUUGCUAAACAUGCAUUGUCUGGCAAAGAUACCAACCCACUUUGCUGAAUAUAACUUUUACCAAUUACCGCUUUCUGGUGCCGGCACGGCACUGUCAACCUACUUGUUCUUCCGUUAACACCAAAGGACUGUGUUAAUGGUAAGAGCAAAACCCUGCCAACAGGCGAUGAACAAUGCAAACAAAGAUUGGGCUGCGUUGUUUCACUUUGUAAAUUUUGUUUUUUACUUGCUGCACUAAAUUUGUUUUCCUCCGGUGUUUGCCUCUGCAGGUCAAAUAAUAACAACUUUUCUAUCGGACACCUGCCGGGUCGAAUAAUCGGAUCAAUCACUGGUGACCCGCGUCCGCGGUACUUCACAGUGCAAUGCUGUGUUUUUUUUUGAGUCCAUUGAACCUCAUUUAGGUACGUUCUAUUUUAGCAUGAUCGAUAACUAUCCCUCCCAAGUAACAAUUUGGGUUUUAUUACACUCUUAUGAUGGCAUUUAUGGCCAAAAUUGGCCAUGAAAACCACCAUAAGAGUACAAUAAAACUCACAUUGUUGCUUGGGCAAGUUGCGAUCGAGAAUUGACGCCAUUGAAGGGACAGGUGACUUUAAUAAACGUUCAUUUUGAUAUCUGGUUCGUUAAAGACUGUACUUUAUUAAUCAAGACUUGCAUUUCCAGACAAAUCGAUUCUUAAAAGGAACUCUUAAUAUAUUUGGUAGUUUGUCUUUGACCAUUGAAUUUUAAACAUACGUUUAGUUAUUCUCCCUUCAAAUGGCAUUCCAGUGUUGAAGUAUUGUAUUUGGUUUGUUUGUGCGUGUAGCACACCUCCCCUUCUUAAAAGAGUGAUGUAGUGAAAUGAUGUCUUGGGUUUUCACAAUUAAUCGUCUGUAAUUAUUAUUUUGAAUAUGUUGCUGAAUGACUCCCGGAUCAAAUAGAAGUGUCCACUGCGGACGGAAGUUACUGCUUGGUUUAUUGAGUCAAACUUACUGUUUUAUACAUGAAGUUUGCUGACUUGCACCAAUCGAUCGGGGAUAAAUUUCGUGAUCAGGCUAUGUUGAUAAGAGAACUGGGCGUCGAAUAAACGGAUCAGUUUCCGGCGGCCUGUUUUCGCAGUGUUUCACAUUGUAAUGCUGUGCAUCCUUCUGAAUCUACGUAACCUCAUUUACGCUCUAUUUGAGCAGUAUUGAUACCUGCCUCAACUUGCGAACGAGAAAACUCCGGCUCGAAUAAACGGAGCAAUUUCCGGCGUUCCGUGUCCGUAGUGCUUCACGGUGCAAUGCUGUGUUUUCUUUUGAAUCCACGUUAUCUCAUUUACGCUAUAUUUUGGCAAGAUCGACACCUGUCCCAACUUGCGUUGGGUCAACAAUGGCGUUCAUAGUGCUCUGCAUUGUAAUGCUGUGUGUCCAUUUAAGUCCACGUAACUUUUGCUCGUAAUAUAAUUGAUCAAUAAUGUAGUGCUGAGCUGGACCACCUUGGACUAACUUACGGGGCAAAAUGCUCAAGUAUUGUUUCACUGCAUUUCUCACCCGCUCCCAUAUUCCGAUUGAAUGCGGUAAUCUAUUCAACAGAUUAUCAUUAUCGUAAUUGAGUCCGUUAUACUUAUUGUCAACAAUAAGAAUGCGACUGCACCUAAGUUAUGCUUAUGAAGGUAUCGGGUUCAGAGGAUUUAGCGACCGCACAAUUACUAACGCUACAGAACCGAUUGAGUUUGGUGGACCAAAUUUAAUUUCAGCUACUUCUCGGCCUUUCCCGUCUCCUGCUAGUUGCCUUGCUACUAUGAGGGCCUAUGCUUCUGGAGAGGAGAAAUAAGUUUCGCAAUAAUUGCACGUAAUAAAUUAUUCCAGGGCCUGAUCAGGUCUUCUAGCUAGUGUCCUCCCUACUUGGAGGUCUAUGCACCUUGAAGAGAGACUAAAGGAAUUACCUGUAUAAGCCACGCGAGGUUCAUUCGGCCAACUCCAGAGUGAUUAUUAAUUACUUCUACUAACUGGACUUGUUCCGUAGUUUGUGAUUUUAAGACAGUAGUAACAUUUAUAAGAAUUAGACACCGGCAGAAUCCGACAAACAGACCCCGCAGUUCAUGUUCACGAAACCAAACUAAACCGUAAAUCUAUUUCUUUUUCUGUUUUAAAACGACCUCUUUUCCUGUUUCCCGUGGCACGGCUCUAUACUGCUGCACACUGUAGUGCUGUCUGUCCAUUUGAAUCCACCUAACCUCACUUACGUCAUGUCUACGAAGCAGCAUGACCACUCGGUUCAACGUCUUAAGCUAAAUUUUAUGUUCAACCUUACGUUUUAACUAAACUCUGUUACGAUCCAACAUUCUCUAACAUUCUCUUCAGGCAAAUACGCUUGUGAUCGACGUAGUCGAGAAAUUCUGCGCCAGUUUUCGUCGCAAACCAAUCAUGAUGUCCUGUCACGGUCGCCAUGUAAUGAGCUUGUCCUAACAACACUCUCGACUGAGAGCUUUAUAUUUAUUCUUUUCUUUCUCUCAGGUUUUGUUUGAUUUACUGUAUUUUUGGUGAUUUCAAUAACCUGAUAAGAUCUGAUUAAUCUAAUUCUAAUCUAAUCUCGAAUUUCUGAAGCCGUGUAGAAGGAUGUCAUGUCAUCCUUCCGAAUAAAAUUCCGGUUAAGGUUAUAUUGACCAGAGAACUCGGCGUCGAAUAGAAGGAUCAAUUUCUGGUGGUGCAUGUCCGUCGUGCUUCACAAUGCAAUGCUGUCCCUCCAUUUGAGUCCACGUAACCACAUUUACGCUCUAUUUGAGCAAGAUCGUUACUUCCGUUGGGUCGAUCAAGGAAACUCCGGGCCAAAUAAACGGUUCAGUUUUCGGCGGCCCGUGUCCGUCGUGCUUCACAUUGCAACGUUGUGUUUCCAUCUGAAUCCAUGUAACCUCAUUAACACCGUAUUUUUGCAAGAUCAACACCUGUCCCAACUUGCGAUAGGUCGAUCAGGAAAACUGCGAGUCGAACAAACGGAACAGUUUUCGGCGGUCCGUCGUGCUUCACAUUGCAACGCUGUCCCUCUAUUUGAGUCCACGUACUCACAUUUACGUUCUAUUUUUGCAAGAUCGACACCAGCCCCAACUUGCCAUGGGUUAAUGUUGGAUAGGUAUCUGGGCGAUUGUUGACGUUUUCCGACGAUUUAGAGAAUUUCCAGCUUGCUGGAAUUAGUUUUUAGUCCUUUUGGGCUGCACAUUGUAAUGCUGUCCACCCAUUCGCGUGUGUAUAAUCUCAUUUACUCAAAUAUCGUCGAUGGAAAAAGUACAGAGUCCACAGCUGACUAUAAGCAUUAGCUAAACUACUCCCGUAGUUUGUGAUUUUAAGACAGUAGUAACAUUUAUAAGAGCACCGGCAGCCCGGUGUUGUGAUUUUGCCAGCCCGUUUCUGUUCUAUUAGACGAUUUUCUGCUUUCAUUUUGGCUGCCAUCUCCUUCGUAUGGGUUAUAACAGUACCGCGACAGGUCGAUAGGCGCCAACGUUCCUCCUUUUUCGUGCUCAUAUAAUGUUUUAUAUUGUCGUAAAUUUUGAAUUCUAUCACACGACUCUUCGAAGACGGGGACGCCGUUCCUUUGUAUGUAUACGACAUACCGUCCCGAUUGGCAUAAAUAGCGCAAGAUAUUUUGCCAUUGUUCCGUUGAUAAUUCACACAUUCUCUGAAGAUGUCCUCGUCUUCGGAGUCGCUCAUAUCCCUGGUUGAAGGCGCAUCGGCACUGACUUGAGGUGAAUGUACAACUGUGGUAGAUGUGGAGAUGUCCAGACGCUUGGAUUUUACAGGCGGUUCCGAUGUCUCUUCCUCCGAAGCAAUGUCCACAAUCGAUUCCGUCGAUACACGUCUCUUGUUCAGCGUGAAAUCCGAUGAUGAUGGAUUUCCGUCCACUUCGCUCCGACUUUGCGGCUUGAAUAAUUGAAGAAAUUGCCGAAAAGUCGACAUUGAGAGCGAUGUCUCUAAGCCAACGGUAAACAGGUCUAUCAAUUGGUCUUGUAUUUGGCCGUCGGUGCAAUCCUCCAAUUCCGAAAUAUGUUUUAAAUUCAGUUGCAACUGGGUUACUACAUUCCGUAGAGUCGGACUCCUCGGCUUCUUGAUUGUACUUAUCCAUUCCAAUAAAGUCGUAAUAUAACCACCUUCGAUUAUGGUACGCGCAAAUGCUCUAACAUCAAAUACUUUAGGAAUUGAUAAUGGAGCUAAUACACUUAACAAAGAAACCAUUUUAACAACAAGUGUUUUCACAGUGGAAGUUAAUCGUGGACUGGUAACUUGUCCACGGUUCAGUUUUCGGCGGCCCGUGUCCGUCGUGCUUCACAUUGCAACGCUGUGUUUCCAUCUGAAUCCAUGUAACCUCAUUAACACCGUAUUUUUGCAAGAUCGACACCUGUCCCAAUUCGUCAUUGGUCGAUCAAGUAAACUUUUGGGUCAAAUAAACGGAUUGGUUUUCGACGGUACGUCGUGCUUCACAUUGCAACGCUGUAUUUCCGUUUGAGUCCAUGUAACCUCAUUUACGUUCUGUUGUUGUAAAAUGAGCAACUGUCCCAACUUGCGACAGGUCGAUCAGGAAAACUGCGGGUCGAAUAAACGGAACAGUUUUCGGCGGUUCGUGUCCGUCGUGCUUCACAUUGCAACGCUGUAUUUCCAUCUGAGUCCACGUAACCACAUUUACGUUCUAUUUUUGCGAGAUCGACACCUGUCCCAACUUGCCAUGGGUCGAUCAAGUAAACUUCGGGUCGAAUAAACGGAUCAGUUACUGGCGGCCCGUGUCCGUCGUGCUUCACACUGUAGUGCUGUGUUUCCAUCUGAAUCCAUGUAACCUCAUUAACACCGUAUUUUUGCAAGAUCGACACCUGUCCCAACUUGCGACAGGUCGAUCAGGAAAACUGCGGGUCGAAUAAACGGAACAGUUUUCGGCGGUCCGUGUCCGUCGUGCUUCACAUUGCAACGCUGUAUUUCCAUCUGAGUCCACGUAACCACAUUUACGUUCUAUUUUUGCGAGAUCGACAUCUGUCCCAACUUGCCAUGGGUCGAUCAAGUAAACUUCGGGUCGAAUAAACGGAUCAGUUACUGGCGGCCCGUGUCCGUCGUGCUUCACACUGUAGUGCUGUGUUUCCAUCUGAAUCCAUGUAUCCUCAUUAACACCGUAUUUUUGCAAGAUCGACACCUGUCCCAACUUGCGAUAGGUCGAUCAGGAAAACUGCGGGUCGAAUAAACGGAACAGUUUUCGGCGGUCCGUCGUGCUUCACAUUGCAACGCUGUCCCUCUAUUUGAGUCCACGUACUCACAUUUACGUUCUAUUUUUGCAAGAUCGACACCAGCCCCAAGUUGCGAUAGAUCGAUCAAGAAAACAAAUGAACGGAUCAGUUUUCGGUGGCCCAUGUCCGUCCUACUUCACAUUGCAGUGUUGUGUUUCCCUCAGAAUUCAUGUAACCCCAUUUACACCGUAUUUUUUGCAAGAUCGACACCUGUCCCAACUUGUCAUGGGUCGAUCAAGUAAACUUUUGGGUCAAAUAAACGGAUCGGUUUUCGGCGGUACGUCGUGCUUCACAUUGCAACGCUGUAUUUCCGUUUGAGUCCAUGUAACCUCAUUUACGUUCUGUUGUUGUAAAAUGAGCAACUGUACCAACUUGCGACAGGUCGAUUAAGAAAACUGCGGGUCGAAUAGACGGUUCAGUUUUCGGUGGCGCAUGUCCAUCGUGCUUCACAAUGCAAUGCUGUCCCUCUAUUUGAGUCCACGUACUCACAUUUACGUUCUAUUUUUGCAAGAUCGACACCAGCCCCAAGUUGCGAUAGAUCGAUCAAAAAAACUUGGGCCAAAGGAACGGAUCAGUUUUCGGCGGCCCAUGUCCAUCCUGCUUCACAUUGCAGUAUUGUGUUUCCCUCAGAGUUCAUGUAACCCCAUUUACACCGUAUUUUUUGCAAGAUCGACACCUGUCCCAACUUGUCAUGGGUCGAUCAAGUAAACUUUGGGUCAAAUAAACGGAUCAGUCUUCGGCGGUCCGUCGUGCUUCGCAUUGCAACGCUGUAUUUCCCUCUGAGUCCACGUAACCUCAUUUACGUUCUAUUGUUGUAAAAUGAGCAACUGUCCCAACUUGCGACAGGUCGAUCAGGAAAACUGCGGGUCGAAUAAACGGGUCAAUUUCCGGUUGCGCAUGUCCAUCGUGCUUCACAAUGCAAUGCUGUCCCUUUAUUUGAGUCCACGUACUCACAUUUACGUUCUCUUUUUGCAAGAUCGACAUCAGCCCCAAGUUGCGAUAGAUCGAUCAGGAAAACUUCGGGACAAAUGAACGGAUCAGUUUUCGGCGGCCCAUGUCCGUCCUGCUUCACAUUGCAGUGUUGUGUUUCCCUCAGAAUUCACGUAACCCCAUUUACACCGUAUUUUUUGCAAGAUCGACACCUGUCCCAACUUGUCAUGGGUCGAUCAAGUAAACUUCGGGUCGAACAAACGGAUCAGCUUCCCGCCGUCUGUGUCCACAUUGCUUCACUUUGCAACGCUGUGUAUCCAUUUAAGUCCAUGUAACCUGUCCAUAUAACAUCCCGAUAGUACCAACUCGGGGAGCCUGAAUACGGGACAGUUUAUAUGAGACAGGUACCCUGAAACGCUUGGGGAGGUUACCUUUGUCUCGAACCAUAUAAGCAAACCACAUGUCUGCUGUUCACGAUUGUCCGGGUCCGCUAGCGAUCGCGAGCAAUCAGCAAGGAAAGAAUCUAAUUCCACGGGAAUUUCUUCCUCGUCAUUACGCGAAGUCUACUUGGGUUCUUGAAUUGGGCCUCGAACUCUGCUCGAGUUUGAACUGCGUCCAACGUUCCAACGUAUUGCCUCGAUCUUAUGAACGAAGCCAUCCUGCCAAACUGGUGGAAAACCCACUGGCCCUGAUAGUACAUGUCUUAGGGAGAAAGCUCCCUAGAAAUGAGUCGAAUUUCUGCGCUAGUGUGGUUCUGUAGUGUGCCCGCAGUUCGCUACGGAUCCGAUUUGGACUAAACAAUAAAAGGAGCAACCCCAACCUCUCAUUCCGGUGGAGCCCGGGGGUGUCUACGAUCUCCGAAAGUCGAUGGGUUGCGUCUUCGCUUGUCAACAAGGUUUGAGGAAUGACUACCAGAUAAUCUCGCGUGGCUGUUUACAAACCUUAUCCGGCCUUAUUAUCAGAUAGUCGUUCACCAAACUUACCGCUUGAUACAAAGCACAAUCAUUGUUUCACCGCAUACCUCUUGCGUUCCCAUGUUCCGCCAAAAUGCGGUAAGCUCUCGUAACUCAAUCAUCUGUUAUUUGAUUCUAUCUAAAUACGUCUUUACCUUCGGCAUUCUAACGGGUUCUUGGCGUCAAUUUGGAUACCGAGAAUCAAUGUCUUUUUGAAUCGUAAUAGCGCCCUAAUCAGCGCGCGAACAUCUGACGUUGAAAACGGCCUUUUCUUACCACGGUAUAUCAAAUGCAAACAAAUCGCCUGCCCUGCAUUGGCUAAGGAGCGAACAAAAAUUGUUGAAUCAUUUCGUUCGUUCGUUCGGUAUUAUAACAUGCUCGUGCAGCUCGGGCCUUUUUUUUUGUUCUUCCACAACAGCUCAACGUGUACAUAUCGUGGGCUACGGAUUACGAAUUUGUAUUUCUAACAAUGUUGUUCUUAACAUGCUACCGAAACACGUUAUAUGAAAAUGAAUAUGUUAAAACACUGUAAGCUGCUGUGCGUUGUUUGCGCGUUAUUUUUUUUGCGUUUUCGCAAGAUUUUUCAACUCGCGUAAAUGUUUUGUAUUAGGAAUGAUAUGUUUCGUUUAGUUUUUUGAUGGGAGUGGUUCUAUGGUAAUUACCUCUUUAAUGGACCGUGUAGACUUAUUUCGUGGUUACUUGUGAUAACGAAAUGAAUAGAAGCUAGCCAAAGUAAAGAUAUACUUGCAGAUUAUUAUUAAGGAUCCGAUGGGGGAUCUCUCUCUGGUGUCCGGGGUGUCUGCGUGCAGAUCCCAGAUCAAAUCGAUAACUCUGCUUUCUUUAUUAAUUCAAACUUGCCUUUUUAUACAUACUUAUUUCUUAGUCAGCAUAAUCGUCUAAAUAUCAAUACUCGAUAUCGUAAAAAUAAAACAUCGUCAAUUGCUCGUUGAAAUAUAGCAGGAGCAUUUUUAAGUGCUAACAACAUACGUGUUAAUUCGUAUUUGCCGUUAUUAAUCGUAAAAGCAGUGUUUUCGAUGGAACUCUCUUUCAUUUUUAUCUGGUGCACACUCGACUACGGUAUUGCUAUUCAAUUAUGAUUCGGGUAUAUGAAAUGCUUUUUCAUGUUCGUUUAGCACUUCAAGUAACUGUGUUUUUACAGAUCUUUCUAAAGGUCAAAGAUUCCUUCGACAUCGGUCAUCCAACAUAUUAAAUCUGCUGGCUCUCCAUCGAACCACUUCUUAUAUUAAAACACUCUUUAAUUAAAACACCUUUAUAUGAAAUUAAUUUAAACACUUUCAUAUGAAAUUUAUAUGAAAUUAUAUGAUUAUUAUUAGAAAAAAAUGUAACUUACAUAAAAUAAAAGGACCGUGUCCUGGGUCCGGCCGGCAUAAUAUGAAACCGCCAAACCGGUCUUCGUGGUUGGCUGUCCGUCAAGUUGGGAGAAAGGCACUUUCGGUGGUUCCGGUUUGCUUGGCUGGAUGCCUUUGGUGUUUGAAUCGAACAUCCAAUCACCACUAGAUGAUCUAUAUAAAUAUAAGCAUGUUCAGGUGCUAAUCCUAUGGCGUCAUUGCUAUGGUCAUCAUACGUUGAAAACUGUUCGGACUGUUAUAUUUAAUCCGAAUCAUCCGAAUGGUAAUCGAGUAAAUUGAUAAUGACCCGAGUUGAAGUUGAGUUGAAAAUGCAGUAUUUUUCUUAGAGUUUUCCGUCCAAGGGAAUUUGAUGGAAAUCAGACAUGAGGUCUGGAGUUGUGAAAUAUUUAGCUCUAUCAAGCUGAUCCAAAAUAAAAUCUAUUCUCGGUAGAGGAAACUUAUCCGAAAUAAUUUAUUUUAUUUAACUGGCGAAAAUCAACAAUUAGUCGCUUUUCUUGUUGGUUUUUGUUGAUUUCUUAGGAACCAAUUAAGGUAGUUAAUUAUUUCUAUUUAUUAUUGAGAUUUUCAAAAUUUGGCGUGUUUCGAUUAUUAUUUCUGAAAUUUCCGCCACUACCAAAUUGUGGGGCAUAUCUAAAAUUGUCAUUAUGAUAUGUCAUAUUGUUGAAAUUUCCUCGUCUCGUUCCUCGUCCUCGUCGUCUGUUAUUACAUUACAUUUUGUACUUGGUAUUUUUUCUGUCAGUGUCUCACAAGUCGAAUUAUAGUCAUGUAUUGUUCUUUCCAGGGCCCUAUCCCCAUUUUGUAAUUCCCCUACCGGGAAUCUUACCUUCAGCGUGUACGAUCCCAUUCUAAUAAGCGGGUCGUCCAAUUUUUCCAUAAUUAACCUCCCUGCUAUUUUUGGCAAGGUCAGUACAAGGAUGUUCCCUAUGAUCCUUCCGUUUACUCCGGCCAUCAUGCCAGAUAUCACUGCUCACCAAAAUUGCUCUUAGGGGAAUUUACACAGUAUUGUUUUGAUUAAUUUUGAUUGUUUUGAAUGUACGAAACUGCUGUCAUCAGAAUGUACGAAAACACUUGUUUUCUAGUACCCUCUCCGACCUGAAGGGUCCGAAAGGUGAUUAACUAAGUUCUUUAUUUUCGGCAAUUACAAUGAGUUUUGUACUAACUCUAACUUUGUUCCUAACUCUAUUCGUCCUACUCUAUUGCACGCUGAGUGCCAAGCCUAAUUCUAUUAAUUCUGGCGCGGGCGAAAACUCUCUCGCCCUUGCGCAUAUUUACAGAGGCUUAAGAAUUUGUGCGGAGCAGCGCGGAAGCCGCUCGCGUAUCCAAUUCUCCACGGCCACACGGAAGCCAACGCACCUCGCGGUCGUCGUUGCCUUCCGUGGUUACAAAACACAAACGCAAAAAUGUGCUGACAAUUAAACCACAUCGCGCCGGUAGGUUACGGUACCUAGCCGAAUCUGGGUCAUCGUGAAAAGCGAAAAAAAAGUCAUGGUUUCGAAUUUAUUGUUUUCGAUUUUUUUAAAUCUGGUAAAGAAUCUUCAAAUUCUUUACUAAUCUCCACGAAUCGCUUUCUUACACCCUGUAGAUUAUUUCCUGCGUUUGGGUUUUCCUCGUCGCUAUUGCUUAAAUUUUCGGCAAUCAAAGUCGACGAUAAAAUAGAUUCAUUAACUAAUGAACCUCCCCCUGGCGAAGAACCUGAAGCAAUAACUUCCCGAUUUCGUAAUGAAAUUAUUCGAUCGGUCAUUUAAUUUAAUGAACACAAAUCAGCUGAAUAAAUAGUCCUCAUAAAGAAAGAGAGAAAAAAAAACUAUUUAAUCCUAUUCGCCGUUUCUAUUCAAUAUCCGACGGAAAACCUUCGUCGCAAAAUUCUGCGUCUAGCAAGUUUUCAAAUUGCGCUUGAUUUAGCUCCAACUCUACUUGAAUAUGAUGCUCCUCGAGCUCGCGAGACCAGGUGUUUAGUUCGAUUUCUCCUAAUACUUUCUGGAAUGCGUAAUUUAGCUGGACUCUAGUAGCCUCGCAGCGAGUAAUAUUGCAUGCUAACACGCCAGUAUUACAAAUUGCCUCAGCUAUUUUCAAUUUAGCAAAAGAUUCUUCUUCACUAAUAAUUUGUUGGUUGCCAUUAGAUUGCUCCCAAUCAAUGGCUUUCUGAUUUAAGGAAAUUAUACAUUGACGUGCUAAUUCUUCUUGAAAAUUAAUUGCGUCCAUGUUUCCUAAUCAGUAAAGUGAAAAUUAGCGUCGAUCAGUGCUGUUAAUACCCAUUAGCACAACGUUCAAACUACUGGAUUAUCCAACUGACAUUCACGCUUGUGCAGUGAAUAUUAAAUAAAAAUAAAAAAAACCUUCUGGAUUUGAAAAUUAACUUUUUCCUGAAAAUUAACUUUUUCCAACCGGCAGUUGUUAAAUUAACCGUUGGUUACAAUCUCGAACUUCUCUUGGUUGGCCCGGUUGGAGUCUAGAAGAACCUGAUUAACGUUUAACGUUUGUUAGUUCUAUGUCCAGCGUCUUAAGCUCUCGCUUAUCCUUAUAGUAGAGCAGUAGGACGGUUUUAAUCUCUAUCCAAUCACUAACAACAUUGGUUGAGUUGAGUACAUCAGACGCUUCUCCCACAAUUUUUCGUCUGAUGGACCUUGCUAACAAUUUAAAUUGUAUGGAAUCGCGAGGCAGAUUCUUGUACAUUUCGUAAAUGCCUUCCACCUCAGUCAGCCAACUGAAUAGUUCGGUGGGUUUUCCAUCGAAAUUAUUUAAUAAUUUUACGAAAUCUGGAAGCCUUCCGACAACGACAAAAGUACGGACGGCUUCGGCUUGUAGCUCAGCGUUUGCCAUGAUGCUACCAAAAUAAAUAUCUAGCCAGCUUUUCUUAAUUUUCAGGAAGAAAAAAAAGGGAUCAAUGAAUAUGAAAUUAACUGCACACUUCUUUUUUGAGCUUUUAUAUUAACGGAUUGCACUUUUGUAAUAAAAAUUAAAAAUUCACUUUUUUGAUAAAAAUAAUAUUCACUUUUCUGUUAAAAAUAAAAAUGUAAACUUAGAGUUCACUUUUGCCAGCUAAUCUGGACUUUUUCUAUUUUUCACUUAGAGAAAGAAAAAUUACUUAAAGUAAGUAAGCCAGCAUCUUCUCGAUCUGGACUUCGUAGAUCAGUACGUGUCCUCGCUUGUUGUGGGGGAUCAGUCGUACCCUUAUUUUUUAUGGCCCCUAGCUUGGCCUUGAUGUUAUCCGAGCUCAAUUUUGAGGCGCAUUGGGCUUUUAGUUGCGCCAGUGUUUGUUCCAGGGUAUGCGCCCCUGGUAUGACUUCUGGCGGGCGGUGCCCGUCAACAAUCUGGUUCUUAUGAAUUUCAGAACGGUUUCUUUUCCGGCUUCCUUCUGUGCCUCGCUUGCGUCGGCAUAUUCUUCAUCGAGGGUGUCAUUGAACAAUGCCACCGCAUCGAGAAAAGCGUUUAAGUUAUCCGGGUUGCCGUCAUAGUGUGAACUUUUACAAUGUUCUCAAAACGAACGUAUAGUUCGCCUUUGUGGUAGAAUGUUAUCGGGACACGUAUUGUGCCCUUCUUAUUUCCGAAAGUAAAUUUUCCAGGGAUAAUUUUCCUAUCCCUUUUUAAGGCAUUGUACCAAGCUUGAAAAUAAGCAAGGUCAUCCUCAAAACUUUCCCAUUCAGUGCUCAUUAUUUUAUUUGAGAAAGCAAGAAUGUUUUUUCUUUUGUUUUUUUAUAACUCUCACUUCACUGCAAUUCACUGUGUUUUGCCCAUCACUGUUCAGUGUAUUGUCUUCAUGACACCAGUUCAAAUAAUUUUGGUAGUUUACGUCCUGUCACGGUCGCCAUCUAACAUAAUUAUAACACGGUCUGCCAUCUAACAUGAUUAUAACACUCUCUGCACUCGCGGUUAUCUUUGUGCGCAACGAGGCGGACUACUCGCGACAGAUUCCUGCCAGCAGGGCCUAAGCACUCCAAUGACAGCCCAUGGGUCCGAAAGGCCUAGGGGGUCAUUGGAAGCGGAAUGUCAUCUAUUAGCACAGCCCGUAGGUCCGGAAGGCCAAGGGGGCGCAAUAAGAACUUCCUAGCUUAACGGUGGAUAGGAAUCAAUUCUCCUCAUUUAUUCAAAGACUGUUCUAUUUAUACUCGAAUUGUGACAUCGUCACAAAUCGAUAUUUUGGAAUCGAUACUUGGUGGUUUACAAUGUUUCUUAAUGUUAAAACGAGAUAGACUACCGAGACAGCAGGUAUCGAAAAAAAAGGUUCUAUAUAUUUAAUUGUUCAAUUGCGCUUUGUACGUAAUGCUUGUAAUGUGACCCUUGCCGAACACAGUUCGAUGCCGGACCACCAGCAGCGUGGUCAGCAUAAAAUGUGCAGCCGAUCGACGGUGCUGGUGCUUGUGCAUCGCGGCGGACGGAAGAGUUUGGCUAUGUUCUUAUGACUCAUUUCUUACUGUUUGUUUACUGUUUAAAUGAUGAUCAAUUUGGAUGGCGUACGUAUAGUACAGAGCUAUUGUGUGUGAAAAUUGAGUAUUCGAUUGCUGUGUGAAAUGCUUCAUUCUUCCAAGGGGGAGAUAGUGAAGCAUUUACAGCAAAGUCGUCUGUGCAGUUUGUAAAAAGUAAGUCCAAAUAAGCAUUUUGACUAUUUUUGACUGCAUUUAUUUGAUGCAGGCCAAAUUGUGAAAUUUUGUCAAAAAUGUAAUGCAAUGUUUCAUUUUCGCCUACUACUGGAGGCAAAAUGGAUUCAUUGUCAAUGUCUACAAUGAAGUCCACAUUGCGCUCAUUGAAGUCGCCGUAAAUAUGUAGUUUUACUUCGGGUUCCAUAUUUGAAAUAAUGUUUUGAAUGUUUAUUAGCAUGUUCGGGAGGAAAGUACACGGCUGAAAAAAUGUGCACUUCGCCGUAUAUGGUUGCUUUGGCCCAUAUAUUUUCAAAUUCGAUGUGCUUUCUAGUAAUUAUUUCUUCCGAAGUAAAGUCAGAGUUUAUAGCUAUGAGGACACCUCCUCCAGAUUUUUUCUGACUUAGAGACAAAUUACGGUCGUGCCGGAAUACGUUAAAUAGAUUUUCCAAAAAUUUCUUCGCUUUUUACGCUUUCGUCCCAGCAACUUUCGGUUCUGAGAAUGACUUUGAAAGAAGAUGAUAUUACAUUUUGAUGAAUUUCCUUCAUUUUGGCUGGACUUUUCAUGCGGUUGAAAUUCUGGCAAUACACAAGAAUUUCAGCCACAUUCUGUUUUAGUGCAGAAGAAGUUUUUGGAAAAUAAUUACUACUUACAUUUACGUUUACUAGCUCCAAAGAGCGCGUCGAUAAAAUUUCUUCUUCAUUAGACUGGGCGUCGUCGUUUGGUGAUUCAAAUUCUUCCGUGUUGUGCGUCAAUUGUAGAGAAAAUUCGCGUUGUAAGAUUUACGUGACGGUACAACGCUUGUCGAAAAUUUAUUGUUACUUUCGCGCAAUUGCUGAAGGCGGUGAGUUCGUUCGCUCACUAAAAAUUGUCUGUACGACUGCAAGUCAGUUUCUGUUUCCGGCGGUAAAAGUCCAUAUUCCUGGCAGACUUCUAGAAAGAUGCGCUUUAGAUGUUCGGGAGACGUCGGGAGUCCUUCGGAUGCCAAAAGCAUUCGAAUGCUGGUUGAUGUUAGUCCUUCUAUACAGACUGACGGCUGCUGCUGUAGAUAUUAUUACUGACAUUGCGGUGUUCGCUAUUGUUCUGAGUGUAGUCGUUAUUAUUGUGAUGAUUGUGACUGCUUUUUUGGACAUAUUUGUUGCAACUUCGCUAGGAAUGCCUUCUCUAACGUAUGUUUGCUGCAAUUUUUCUGUUAAAGCUUCAACUUGUUUGAAGUCUUCGUUAGUCUUUAUUUUUAAGUUUUUCAGAUUGGCUGAGGCCAAAUCUGAAGUGCUUUUGUCUGUGCAGUGGGUUUUGAGUUUUUCGAUAAUUUCGUCGAAUUCUUGUAGUGGACCAGCAAACAGAUUUCUAGCUUUUCCACUCAAUUUUGUCAUAAUUAGUUGCAAUGCAGAUUCUUUAUUCUCUGGUGGUAUUAAAGAUUUUACUAAAUUUAAUGCAUCUAUAAAUGCAUUGAGAGUUUCGGGUUGGCCAUUGUAUGCCGGAAUUAAUCCCGAUAAUUCUGAAGCGGUUUCUAUGGAUAAUGCCAUUUUGCUUGGAAUUAUGUUUUCUUUUAAAUUAACAGUUGCGUCUUUUUGGAUGUUAGAAUCACUUUUUGCUCUUAGUAAUGAGUCUUCGUGAUUUGGAUUUACUUGUAAAAAUCUAGGUUUUGAAUAACUUGUUCCCGGAUCACUAUCGUAAUCUUUCUGGGUAAUUUUUGUGUUAUUUAGAAUUUUAAUACACUUUUCGUAUAUUGUUUUUAAAUUGACAUAAUUGUCUACUAUCUUAUUCCAAUUAUCAGUUGAUAAUCUGAAUUUAACUGUUUUUAGUAUAGUUCUGUAUUCUAAAAAAUAUUCCUCUAGUAAUGUUCUUUUUGUUUCAAUUCCGUGUAAAGUUCUUGAUCGAGUCUUACUUUUUUCUAAAUUGAAAUAUUCUCUUUUGAUCAAAUUUUCGAUGAUUUUCAAUCUAUCCAUCAAUACGGAAUGAACAUUCUAGUAUAUAUUGUAUAUGUAUGUUGCUAUAUUGUAUACGAUGAUCGUUUUCCAGCUAUUGUAUAAGAACGUUGUUUUACAAUGUUCAUUUCACUCGUGGGGCGGACUUAUCGCGGCUGUUGCACACGCGGGGCGGACUUAUCGCGACUGUCGUAAACGCGUCAGAUUCCUGCCAGCAGGGCCGAAGCUCUCUAAUGACAGCCCAUGGGUCCGAAAGGCCUAGGGGGUCACUAGAAGCGGAAUGUCAUCUAUUAGCGCAGCCCUUAGGUCCGGAUGGCCAAGGGGGCGCAAUAAAAACUUCCAAGCUUAAAGAUGGAUAGGAAUCAAUUCCAUUCGUUUAUUCAAAAACUGUCCUAUUUAUACUCGAAUUGUGGCGAUGGUGACAUCGUCACAAAUCGAUAUUUUGGAAUCGAUACUUGUUGUUUUAUAAUGUUUCCUAAUGUUAAAACAAGAUAGACUACCGAGACAGCGGGUGUCGAAAAAAGGUUCUAUAUAUUUAAUUGUUCAAUUGCACUAUGUACGUAAUGCUUGUAAUGUGACCUUUUAUCAAUGGUAACAGUUGAUAGAGCAAUUUGUCUCCUAAUUUCGUAGUUUGUGAAGACGUAAUGGCCGGAUGUGGUGAAAAAUGCAGUAUACUACCUAGACUCUGUAUCUAAUGGAAUUUGAUGGAACCCAGCCUUCAAAUCCAGGGUGCUAAAAUACUUAUCACACGUCCUAAUUGGUCCAGGAUCGCAUCUAUUCUUGGAAGUGGAAAUCUGUCAGCAAUUUUUUUAUUUAGCUACCUGUAUUUAAGCAAAUUCUAACAUUUGACUUCCACUUUGAUUCAAUUGAUGCUCUUGUGCAACAAUUAUUUUAUUUUUCUUCAUUAUUCUCAUUUUUAAAGCGCUAUAAUUCGUACUCUUUGUUUGGAAGUAUUCCUUUAUCAGUCCCUUUAUGUCCCAAAAAAGUAAAGUAAUAUAAUCUCUUGUUUAUAAAAAUUGUUGGUUUCUAUCUUGUCAUUAGGUAAGCACAAUAUAUCUUCAAAAUCUGUUAAGAGCUUGUAAAAUUUAUUUUUGAUGUAAUCUGGAAAAUUUGUGGUUCCUAUUUCCGUCAAAUUGUGUUGUUGUCUAACAGUUGGGUUUGAAUUUUGUCGUAUAUUAAGUGUUGUGUAGUUUGAUAAUGGUUCUAUGACUGGGUUGAAAUUAGAGAUAAAUACUGGUCUUUCUGUUGUGUUUAUGAACUUAACAAAAGGUGAGUUGGCUGAUAUAAUUGAAUUUCCGCAAAAUAUACCUGGUAAAAUUUCUUUUGAAUGUAUGACCAUGUCCUCGUUUAUUCUGAGGUUUGGUACUCUUUUAAUUAUUUCACAUCUACUGGGAAGCAUAAAUCCAUUGUUCAGGUUGUCCUCUAUUGGAACUGAAAUUAAUUGUCCUUGGAGGCAAAAAUUUAAUAACCAUGAUUCAUAAUCGAUCACGCAUUUGUACCUUCUCAAGAAAUCUCUCCCUAAAAUGCCGUCUGUGACUAAAAUUGAAAUAUCGGCUCCACAGUCGAUAAUUAGACUGCAUUGCCUGUUGGUUAUUUGAAUACCAACUAAAAUAAAAUUUGAAGCAUUUAAGUUAAUGUUCAGCAGUGGGUAUUUUACUGCUGGGUUACUCCUAAAAAAUUUGGUUGUUGAAACAUAUUAGGAUUUGUAUAUGCCAUUGGUUGUACUUGAGUAAUUUGUUAUGCUUGAGCUUGUGGUUGAUUCUGUCCCAUUGUCUGUGACUACUCGCUGGCUUGCAUCACUGUUCCUUCAUUAGCGAGGAAAAUUUGAUCCCUUUGGCCAGGGAAUCUAGGGUUUCCCCUAAAUUGUCUGUUACCUCGUUGGCUAUAAUUUCUAUAAUUAUUGGUGUAAUUAUUAUUAUAGUUAUUGUUAUAAUUUCUUGGUUGAUAAUUGUUUCGAUUAUCAGAAAAUCUUGGGCGAUUAUAAUUAAAUCUGCCUCUCUAAUUGAAGCGAUUAUUACUAAAGUUUCUAGAAUUAUUAUUGUUAUUGUAGUUAUUCCUAUAAUUAUUUCUAUUAAAAUUGUUAUUAUUGUUAACAGAUGAUCUAAAAAUAGAUGCAUUUGUUGAGUCAUUAUUAUUUUCAUUCAUGCUUCGGAGAGGUUGUCGAAUUUUCCGACUUUAAGCAUCAUCUUAGUAUCUUCUUUUCUUGAAGCUUUAAUGAGAGCUUGAACUCCUGCUUUCUUAGACAUGGUUUUGGCUGUUUGGUCUGGAGUUUCGUCGCGAAUAUAUGCUUGCGUUAAUUUGCUGCAUAGUUCGUCGAUAUCUUUUGUUGUUUCAUUAAGGUCAUUUUUAUUCUUUAAGUUCUUUAGUUUAGAUAAAGUCAAAUCUGUGCUGGUUUUAUCGACACAGUUUUGCUUUAUUUUGUUUGUAAUAAUCUCGAAAUUUUCAGGCGUCUCAGAGAAUAAUUCUCUGGCUUUUCCUGUUAAUUUGGAUAGAAUUAGUUGAAUUGCAGCGUUGUGCUGCUUUGCUGGCACAAUCUGCUGUAUUAAACUUACUGCAUCAACGAAUGAUUUUUGCCCUGUUGGUUCUCCACCAUAGGUUGGUAUCAACAAAGAUAACUUUGCUGCUGUUUUUAUAUCUAGCGCGAUGUUAUUUUUGAAAAGUCUCCUUAAUAAUAUAAUAAUUUUUACCAAUAGCUUAAAUGAUAUUGGUUUAAUAAUAUUUUUACUACUUAAUUUUAGAUCAACUCUCGUUCUGAUUGAGUCGUUAGUUGAUUUUGCUGUAUGCAUGUAAAAGUUAAAUUGGGAAUUGGUAAGUUCGCUUUGAUUCUCUAAUAAUGUGUCGUUAAUUGUUUUGUAAAUAAAGUCUGAUUCCUUUCUUUUUGUUAGUAAUGUUCCAUAUUUCGUACACCUAUUCAACGAUUUACAAAUAGAGACUAAAAGUUCAAUUUUAAAAUCCAAUUCUUUCAUAAUACAUUAUAAAGUGAGACCCUUAAUAUUCAUAUUCAUAAUAUACAAUUUGUUUAUAAUCAUAGGUUCUUAACUUAUCUCUCUUGAGUGCUUCUGCUGGUGGCCUCUGUUAGCACGUUCGAUAGUGACACCGCUCGCUGGAUGUCCGUAAGCGCUCGUAUCGGAUGAUUCCUCGGUAAAUGUAAUAUGCUGCUCCAAGAGCUACUGCUCCCACGGCCAGAUAUGCCAAUAUCUGCGUCGCACUUGCCGUCUUAUCUAAGUGUGCUGUUUGUUGGACGUUUGCGUUGAUGAUCCUAAUUACGUCUUCGUGUACUGCUGGUUUUUCUUUUGUCUCCUGGUUUCCCAUUGCGAAAUUUUUUUUUGUCUUUUUCACUGUUUACCUCUUCCGUGGGCGAGGUAGUUGCCCUUCUUCUCUUUCCAUUAAAACAUUAAAAGUCUUCGUCACUAUUUGUUCAUACCACCGUGUUCGUUAGGAUGUUUUUUUUUGAACAAUUAACUUUUCAGAGAGUUAAUUUUUCCGAGAGUCAACUGUAUUUAACUUGUGGUCUCUCUGUAAGCUAUCAGCAGGCGAUUUUUUUUUCUGAAAUCGCGUUCACUUCACUUGGUCCAUUCCAACUGUCUGUUUUAUUUUUUCCUUUAGCACUUGACGCUUCUUGAGUACUUGAGCGCCAUGACGUAGAUUAUUUCUAGUUAAGUAGUGGUAACUACACAUUUGUUAAGGAAAACAAAGGUUACUAUAAUUUUCAUAAUUUUGUCGAAAAAUAACUGCUUUAAUAUACGAACGCUACUACUCUUCCUUCUACAUUCAAUUCUAACGCCUCCUCGUGCGUCAAUAUUCCUUUAGAUGUUGUUAUAAAUAAUAUGGCUGUAAUGGAUUUUGAUACUGCGCGCAUCAAUUGCACUAUAUCUUUAGCUCUUACAUUAAAAUUGUCCACAGUUUCGAUAUACUGUAGAACUUUAUUUUUGAUCGCAUAAUGACUACCUCUUUUACUCAAUAUUGCAAUCAUCUGUCGGUUUUCUAAGAUUUCCAGAACACUCUUUUCCACUGAAUUUCUAACCUGCAAUGUUAUCGCUGGACUCUCUACCUUUUGACCAAUUAUCCGACGCAAAUCGUCAGCCAAUAAAUUAGCCAUAAUUAAUUGAAUAAUUUAGAUUCUGUUGUUAAAAAAAAGUCGUUUAACUAUAAAUUAUAGGUAAUACUCUGGAUUGGUUAGAGUACUCUUGAUAUCAGCACUGAUGUUCAAUCUUCGUUUGAACAUGAUGAAUAUGAUAUCAUAAAUGAGUUUAAUUGAUAGUAAAAAGUUAUUUUAAGCUGUAUGUAUCGUGCCACUGUCAAUAGGUCGCCAUAUCGUAGAUCCGACAACCACGAUCUACCUUUACACUUGGCCGCUCUAAUGGUGGCGUUACACCAAAUCAAAAGGAUUUAAUAUCGUACGGACAACUUAGCAGGCUGAUUAGAAGAACAGUGGAAUGGAUUUCUUUUCUGGUGUCCGAGGGGGGUGUCUGCGUACAGAUCCCAGAUCAAAGUAAGAACUGUCCACUGCGGACUGUUCAAAGUUACUGCUCGCUUUAAUAGUUCAAACUUGCCCUUUUAUACAUGAUUAUUGCUUACUUGCACAAAUCGAUCAAGCGUCGAUUUGUGUGCGCGCCUUCGGACUCUGUUUACUAACAGCGCGUGAAUCGUUCCGUUUUGUUUUUGUUUUACUUAAGGCAAUCGUACGCUAUCGUAUGCUAUCGUAUGCUAUCGUACGCUAUCGUACGCUUUCGUACGGAACUAUUUGCUCUACCUAGUUGGUCUAAAAUAUCGUCUAUGCGUGGCAAGGGAAACUUGUCCGCCAAAAACUUUUUGUUUAGUUGUCUAAAAUCUACAACUAGACGCCAUUUUUUUGUUUUAUCCGUUGAUUUCUUAAGUACGAGUAGGAUCGGAGAAUUAUAUCGAGGAUUUUGUUUUAACUUACAAGAUUCGGGAUCGCUAUCAUAAUCCCUUUGUGAAACCGUAGUGUUGUCUAAUUUUUUAAAUACAUUUUUCGUAUGCUGUUCUUAAGACAGCAUACCUUUUAACUGUCUCAUUCCAAGUAGCAGUUUUUAAUCGGAAUUCAAAAGAUUUUAAUAAACGUCUAUAUUCUGAGAAAUAUUCCUGUAAAUGGGAUAGAACUCCUAUAGUAAAAUUUAAAAUAUCUUCUCUGCAAUAUCCAUGCCCGAUGGGCCGUCUAUACCGAAACUGCUUACGCUGGCUGAGCAACACACGGCUGCCCAACCACAUGUACCAAAUGGGUUCUAGACCCCUUGACCAUUCCAGCCACCGUCGGCUUCUUUUCCUUCUUUCCCAUGGUGUUGUACAAGCACAUCUGACAAUCACCAUCCAAAUGCAGCUGCCGCUCUCUGUCAACCAUGUCCCAAAAAUCACUGUCAGCCAAAGCCCCACGCACACUAUUCCGUGGGAUCUCCUUGCUGCACGAACCAACCGCAGCAUGGCUCUGCACAUUUUUAGCAUAGUCAAAGGACCCCAAGAUCGGGGGCCUCAGCCCUCUCCUCUUGAACAUCUUAACAAAAAAUGUUUUGAUGUUUACAAACAGUGCCAGCUAUUGUAUUGAUCGUAAUUCUGCGUCUCGCCUGUGUGUUGCCAGCGGCGCGUGCCUGUCAAGUGGAAUUUGAUGAAAUCCGGACAUCAAAUCUAAAGUUGUAAAAAAUUUCACUCUAGCUAGUUGAACUAAAAUAUCAUCUAUGCGUGGCAAGGGAAACUUGUCCGCUAAAAUCUUUUUGUUUAGUUGUCUAAAAUUUACAACUAGACGCAAUUUUUUUGUUUAAUCCGUUGAUUUCUAACCAUAAUUCUGGUGGAGUAUCUUAAAAAUUUCUAUAUUAUCAUUUUUUCUAUAGAUCUUCUAGUGUUAAUUACCUAAAUUUUUGUAUUAUUUCUGAUUCACAUAUAUUUUUUGUAUGGUAGAUGGGCCUUGUCUUCCACAUCUACACUGCACUUAACCGCUCUUGUGGUGGCGUUACACCAAUCGUAGGGAUACGGUUUACGAGCAGACGACUUAAGCAGGCUGACUAAGAAUCAGCAGUAUGGAUUUCUUUUUGGUGUCCGGGGUGUCUGCGCACAGAUUCCAGAUCAAAAUAAGUGUCCACUGCGAUGGUUCUAUGCUACUGCUCGAGUUUAUUGACGAAAUCGUUCUAUUUUAUAUAUAAUUAUUGCUUAUUCGGCAUUAAUCGUUUGCCUAUCGUUUACGCCCAAAAUGUUUAAUGUUUACAAACAUUGGCAGCCAUAAUAUCGGCAUUGUUUUGAACUGCGCCUCGCCUGUGUGAUGCCAGCGGCACGUGCCUGUUCGGAGCUGGAGCAUAUGCGCACGGGCAGCGAUGAGUCACAUCGUCAUCGCUGCGAAUAGUCACGGUCGCCAUAAGAUAGUUUUGAGAUUGCUUUGGUUUUUUUCGCUGAUCGGUGUCCGGGAGGGAUCGAUGUGAGUGUUUUCUGGUUCAUUUGUUUUUGUGUAACUUGAAAUUUGUUUGUAAGUUAUGAUAGCGUCCGUAGCGCACUACCAACUGUUUGAUUACUAAGUGGACGAUUUCCUCGUUCACUGACCUGCCGCGGUCGCCAUGUGACGAUUACAUUUGUUCUCACUUUAAUUGUUUGAUAGUUCACUGCAAACGGGUUGUAAUAAAUGAUUUUUGAUUGCUGGUAAAGCCAGCCAGUGCAGUACGUCUCUAGUCUAGCCUAUUGUCGUCCAACAAUUUGGGCAUUCUUUUCAUGAAGUAUAGAACAAGUUCACAGAGCAAUCACUGCAUUUUCUAUUGAAGCGACUUUGGUUGUUUAGUGAUACAAACAAGACGAUAAGUAAAUUGUGCGAAUUCAAAAACUGUUUUGUCACGGAUUUGUGUUGAAUCCGGUUCGAAGCUGAAUAUAAUUCACUUAGCUUUAAACCGGGUUUACUACAACAAAUUCGCUGUGAGCGAAUCAUAUCUCGUUCCCCGUUGAGAUUAGCAUCUUUCUUUUAAAGAUGCUUCUUGGCUGGAUGAAAAUAGCAGUGUGUUUUCUUUCAUAUUGGUUAUAUGUUGUUCUGUACCACAGCGUAAAUCGCGCGUGUUUACGAUGCAGAUCCCACGUACAUUUCGACAAAUUGCCAUAGCUGACCUAAAACAAUACCAAAUCAGUCCAUCAUCAAUAGAAAACUUGAUUGUAAAUACACUCGAAACGUAACAAUUGACCCAUUCUAGGCUUUUUGGUCCAAUUCUAACAGUUUGUUUCAAACUGCGAUAAAAUUAUGCAUUUUGCGUGGUUUUAUCAACGUUUGUCUCGAGCUCGUUUGUCUUUGGCAUAUAAGGCACUUAGGUAUAUAAGGGAUGGAUGGUAUGUAAAUAAUGGUUUUCCCAUCCAAUAAAAUAGUAGGGUACAUUAAUGACUAGUAAUAGCUAACAGAUGAAUCUUUUUCGGUUUAAUUUCACUGCCGGUGCGACUUGCAGGCUAGAUCAAUGCUAAUUAAAAAGCCAAUAUCAUCCCUGUUGACACAGUUAUGUAGGGGAUGACUGCUAAAUUAUAAGAAGAUUACUGCUUAAUAUUAGGUAACACAAGUUUUGGCAAUUAUUAAUUUGAUUGCGUUUAUAAAACUUUAUUGGCACUCAGCGAAAAAAAAAUGUAAAAAAUUAACCGAUGAGUGGAAAUUAUUUUCUAACUAAUCGGAAAGCUUAUAAGGCGAUGUUUUAAAUUAAAUCCUACAACGAUUACACUGUGGUGUAAUGCGUUGUAUAUUGGUUGUAUAUUGUAAUUCAAUGCAAAAGAUUAGACAACCUAAGUGUAGAUAGUUCAUGAAUUGUAAAUAUGACUUUGUUAAUCAAAGUUUUACCAUCGGCGAAUAUAUAUUGUAAUAAUAUAAGAAAACGAACGUGCAUUUCACAGGCACGACUUUAAGGCGCACCCAUCAGCGAUAAAAAAAGAUAGGAAGUAAGAAUGUAGUGGGUUUAAAUUCACUACCUCAUAAAUUGUACAUUUUAAAGCAAACUGACUGUAAAAACUUUGCAUUUUGACCAAAAUUGUCCAGGAUAACUUUACCACUAAAUCCCAUAAGUCCCAUAGCGCUCACACCGCUUUAUAGGGAGGGGUUGGGUGGUAAAUAGUACUUAAGAUUAGGUAACAGGAGUAAAUUAUAAAAAAAAAAUUGUAAAUAAAUUUGCAUCUCGACUACGACUUGCAAACUUCAAUUGAUUCAUUGUAGAGCGAAAAUCCCAAAAAUCCCAUAGCGAUUAUAGCUAUAUAAUCGCUGCUAUAUAGGGAAUGGGUUGUAAAUAGUAGACAAGUAAGUUAAUAAUAACAAUAGUUUAAUGAUAGGGUAAAGCUAAUGAUGUUUUGUUAGGGGCCUCAACAAAGGAACUUGUAACAAAAAAAUCAAAUUUGCUCUUCGAAUAUUUUUCUACAAAAUAGAAACAGAAAAUUCACCAACAGAACACACUACCGAAUUUGUUUUACCAACACCCCUGACAAUUUGUACAAUUCAUCAUGAAAAAUCUAGUAAUCCAGUCGCUAUAAAGUAGAAUUAAAACAACGUCGUGAAACACUGACG